rnacentral:rRNA from 1 species
AACGAACGCUGGCGGCAGGCUUAACACAUGCAAGUCGAACGCCCCUUCGGGGGAGUGGCAGACGGGUGAGUAACGCGUGGGAAUCUACCCAGUUCUGCGGAACAACAGUUGGAAGCGACUGCUAAUACCGCAUACGCCCUACGGGGGAAAGAUUUAUCGGAAUUGGAUGAGCCCGCGUAAGAUUAGCUAGUUGGUGAGGUAAUGGCUCACCAAGGCGACGAUCUUUAGCUGGUCUGAGAGGAUGAUCAGCCACACUGGGACUGAGACACGGCCCAGACUCCUACGGGAGGCAGCAGUGGGGAAUAUUGGACAAUGGGGGCAACCCUGAUCCAGCCAUGCCGCGUGAGUGAUGAAGGCCCUAGGGUUGUAAAGCUCUUUCGGCGGGGACGAUAAUGACGGUACCCGCAGAAGAAGCCCCGGCUAACUUCGUGCCAGCAGCCGCAGUAAAAC